rnacentral:rRNA from 1 species
UAUCAGGCACGCCCAAAACAUCUAGCCACGCCACACCCAGGGCCCUCAGCAGUGAUUAACAUUAAAAUAAACGCCAGUUUGAUUUAGCUAAUGAAAAUAGAGCCGGCCAAUCUGGUGCCAGCCGCCGCGGUUACACCAGAGGCUCAAACUGAUUCGGCGUAAAGCGUGAUUAAAGGGUCAAACUUAAGUUUACUGUCAUACGAUUAUUUUUAAAAGCCCUCUCUCGAAAGAUACCCCAAACCACCAACUUGAACUCACCACAACUAGAACACAAACUAGAAUUAGAUACUCUACUAUGUCUAGUUACAAACUUUAACUUACCGCCAGGGAACUACGAGCAAAGCUUAAAACCCAAAGGACUUGACGGUGCCCCACAUCCCCCUAGAGGAGCCUGUCCUACAACCGAUUCCCCCCGUUUUACCUCACCACUUUUAGUUCAGCCUGUAUACUUCCGUCGUCAGCUUACCGCAUGAGCGAAAGUAAGCUCAAUAUCACCCGCAAAUACGUCAGGUCAAAGUGCAGUUCAUAAGGUGGUAAGAGAUGGGCUACACUUUCUAUAGAAGAUACGAAAGACUAUGUGAAAUACUCAGAAGGUGGAUUUAGCAGUAAGGGAAUAGAGUGCCUCCCCUAACGGCACUGGGGCGUGUACACACCGCCCGUCACCCUCU